rnacentral:rRNA from 1 species
UACGUAGGGCGCGAGCGUUGUCCGGAAUUAUUGGGCGUAAAGAGCUCGUAGGCGGCUUGUCACGUCGGGUGUGAAAGACCGGGGCUUAACUCCGGUUCUGCAUUCGAUACGGGCUAGCUAGAGUGUGGUAGGGGAGAUCGGAAUUCCUGGUGUAGCGGUGAAAUGCGCAGAUAUCAGGAGGAACACCGGUGGCGAAGGCGGAUCUCUGGGCCAGUUACUGACGCUGAGGAGCGAAAGCGUGGGGAGCGAACAGG